AUUGAACGCUGGCGGCAUGCUUUACACAUGCAAGUCGAACGGCAGCGCGGGCUUCGGCCUGGCGGCGAGUGGCGAACGGGUGAGUAAUACAUCGGAACGUGCCCAGUAGUGGGGGAUAGCUCGGCGAAAGCCGGAUUAAUACCGCAUACGACCUGAGGGAGAAAGCGGGGGAUCUUCUGACCUCGCGCUAUUGGAGCGGCCGAUGGCCGAUUAGCUAGUUGGUGGGGUAAAGGCCUACCAAGGCGACGAUCUGUAGCUGGUCUCAGAGGACGACCAGCCACACUGGGACUGAGACACGGCCCAGACUCCUACGGGAGGCAGCAGUGGGGAAUUUUGGACAAUGGGCGAAAGCCUGAUCCAGCAAUGCCGCGUGUGUGAUGAAGGCCUUCGGGUUGUAAAGCACUUUUGGCGGGAACGAAAAGGACUGUGCCAAUACCACGGUUCGAUGACGGUACCCGCAGAAUAAGCACCGGCUAACUACGUG
rnacentral:rRNA from 1 species